rnacentral:rRNA from 1 species
ACGGGUGAGUAACGCGUGAGGAACCUGCCUUGGAGUGGGGAAUAACAGGUGGAAACAUCUGCUAAUACCGCAUGAUGCAGUUGGGUCGCAUGGCUCUGACUGCCAAAGAUUUAUCGCUCUGAGAUGGCCUCGCGUCUGAUUAGCUAGUUGCGGGGUAACGGCCCACCAAGGCGACGAUCAGUAGCCGGACUGAGAGGUUGGCCGGCCACAUUGGGACUGAGACACGGCCCAGGACUCCUACGGGAGGCAGCAGUGGGGAAUAUUGGGCAAUGGGCGCAAGCCUGACCCAGCAACGCCGCGUGAAGGAAGAAGGCCCUCGGGUUGUAAACUUCUUUUCUUAGGGACGAAGCAAGUGACGGUACCUAAGGAAUAAGCCACGGCUAACUACGUG